GGUGGAGUUCUGCUAUGCUUUCCAUUGUAGCAAGAGGCUUUCUGGCAAAAAUUGAGAAGAAUUUAUAUAAAUGCUCUUUAGGAUGCAGAGCCAGAGAAACACCUGCUGACUAAGAAGAGCAGAGCAAAUAGCCAACUACAGAAUACUGAUCAUGGGCCCUUCCUGGUGGCG